GACUUGGCAGAAAAAUGCAAUUGAUUUAGGUUCAAUCUAUAAUAUUAAGAUAUUAGUC
rnacentral:tRNA from 2 species